GACGAACGCUGGCGGCGUGCUUAACACAUGCAAGUCGAACGGAAAGGCCUUUUCGGAGGUACUCGAGUGGCGAACGGGUGAGUAACACGUGGGUGAUCUGCCCUGCACUCUGGGAUAAGCCUGGGAAACUGGGUCUAAUACCGGAUAGGACCGCACUUUAGUGUGUGUGGUGGAAAGUUUUUUCGGUGUAGGAUGAGCCCGCGGCCUAUCAGCUUGUUGGUGGGGUAAUGGCCUACCAAGGCGGCGACGGGUAGCCGGACUGAGAGGUUGGUCGGCCACAUAGGGACUGAGGUACGGCACAGACUGCGACGGGAGGCAGAAGUGGGGAAGAUUGCACAAUGGGCGCAAGCCUGAUGCAGCGACGCCGCGUGGGGGAUGACGGCCUUCGGGUUGUAAACUCCAUGCGCCAGGGACGAAGCGUUUUGUGACGGUACCUGGAGAAGAAGCACCGGCUAACUACGUG
rnacentral:rRNA from 1 species